UGGUUUUGACAGCAAGGUCAGAGGAUUUGUAAGCAUAUCAAGGAAUGAAAUUAUUCUUGUAAAACUUAUUUCAACUUUUUAAACGGCGAAGAUAACUACGCUUUAGCUGCAUAAUCUGAAUUAUAGUAGGAUUAGCCUAGGCUCACAAGGUGAGCAAGCUUUAUGUCCACGAAAAGCCUUGGUUUAUGGCGUUUCAUUUUUGGGCAUCGUAAAAAUAAACAUAGGAAAUUUAUUACUUCGUUAAAUUUCCGAAGCUAAAGAAGUUAAGUGUAAAAUGGAUUGUUCUUAAUCAGCUUUACAUCGAAAAACAAGAAAGAACUAAAUAUGUAGAAAGCGAAUUUGCUGCUUGUUUGGACCCGA
rnacentral:tmRNA from 1 species